AUUGAACGCUGGCGGCAUGCCUUACACAUGCAAGUCGAACGGUAACGCGGGGCAACCUGGCGACGAGUGGCGAACGGGUGAGUAAUAUAUCGGAACGUGCCCAGUCGUGGGGGAUAGCCCGGCGAAAGCCGGAUUAAUACCGCAUACGACCUACGGGUGAAAGCGGGGGAUCGCAAGACCUCGCGCUAUUGGAGCGGCCGAGAUCAGAUUAGGUAGUUGGUGGGGUAAAAGACUACCAAGCCGACGAUCUGUAGCUGGUCUGAGAGGACGACCAGCCACACUGGGACUGAGACACGGCCCAGACUCCUACGGGAGGCAGCAGUGGGGAAUUUUGGACAAUGGGCGCAAGCCUGAUCCAGCCAUGCCGCGUGCGGGAAGAAGGCCUUCGGGUUGUAAACCGCUUUUGUCAGGGAAGAAAUCCUCUGAGUUAAUACCUCGGGGGGAUGACGGUACCUGAAGAAUAAGCACCGGCUAACUACGUGCCAGCCGCCGCAGUAAAAC
rnacentral:rRNA from 1 species